rnacentral:misc_RNA from 1 species
GAUGAAGAACGUAGCGAAAUGCGAUAAGUAGUGUGAAUUGCAGAAUUCAGUGAAUCAUCGAAUCUUUGAACGCACAUUGCGCCCCUUGGUAUUCCAUGGGGCAUGCCUGUUCGAGCGUCAUUUGAAACCUCAAGCUCAGCUUGGUGUUGGGUGUCUGUCCCCGCCUCACCGCGGGGACUCGCCUCAAAAUCAUUGGCGGCCGGUACGUUGGCUUCGAGCGCAGCAGAAACGCGAACUCGAGGCCCGGCGGAUCGGCGACCAGAAGUCACUUCUUCACAGUUUGACCUCGGAUCAGGUAGGGAUACCCGCUGAACUUAAGCAUAUCAAUAAGCGGAGGA